AGUGGCGAACGGGUGAGUAAUAUAUCGGAACGUACCUUGUAAUGGGGGAUAACUAGUCGAAAGAUUAGCUAAUACCGCAUACGCCCUGAGGGGGAAAGUAGGGGAUCUUCGGACCUUACGUUAUAAGAGCGGCCGAUAUCUGAUUAGCUAGUUGGUGGGGUAAUGGCCUACCAAGGCGACGAUCAGUAGCUGGUCUGAGAGGACGACCAGCCACACUGGAACUGAGACACGGUCCAGACUCCUACGGGAGGCAGCAGUGGGGAAUUUUGGACAAUGGGCGCAAGCCUGAUCCAGCCAUUCCGCGUGAGUGAAGAAGGCCUUCGGGUUGUAAAGCUCUUUCGCAAGGGAAGAAAACUUAUUCUCUAAUAUAGGAUGAGGUUGACGGUACCUUGAUAAGAAGCACCGGCUAACGACGUGCCAGCAGCCGCGGUAAUACGUAGGGUGCAAGCGUUAAUCGGAAUUACUGGGCGUAAAGCGUGCGCAGGCGGUUGUGCAAGACAGAUGUGAAAUCCCCGGGCUCAACCUGGGAACUGCAUUUGUGACUGCACAGCUAGAGUACGGCAGAGGGGGAUGGAAUUCCGCGUGUAGCAGUGAAAUGCGUAGAUAUGCGGAGGAACACCGAUGGCGAAGGCAAUCCCCUGGGCCUGUACUGACGCUCAUGCACGAAAGCGUGGGGAGCAAACAGGAUUAGAUACCCUGG
rnacentral:rRNA from 1 species